ACUCAAAGGAAUAGACGGGGGCCCGCACAAGCGGUGGAACAUGUGGUUUAAUUCGAAGCUACGCGAAAAACCUCACCAGGGCUUGACAUACAGGAAGUAGUGAAGUGAAAGCGGAACGACCCGUUAAGUCGGGAGCCUGAACAGGUGCUGCAUGGCUGUCGUCAGCUCGUGUCGUGAGAUGUUGGGUUAAGUCCCGCAACGAGCGCAACCAUUAUCCUUUGUUGCCACUCCAGUCGAGCUUGCUCGAUUGGAAGCACUCUAAGGAGACUGCCCGGGAUAACCGGGAGGAAGGUGGAGAUGACGUCAAGUCAGUACGGCCUUUAUGCCCUGGGCGACACACGUGUUACAAUGGGUGGGACAAAGGGUUGCCAACCCGCGAGGGGGAGCUAAUCUCAAAAACCCAUCCUCAGUUCAGAUCGGAGUCUGCAAUUCGACUCCGUGAAGCCGGAAUCGCUAGUAAUGGGAGAUCAGCACGCUCCCGUGAAUACGUUCCCGGGCCUUGCACACACCGCCCGU
rnacentral:rRNA from 1 species